GCGAACUUGAAAACGUGGUGAAGAUGGUUAUUUGCGGUGUAAUUAUUGUUACAUGCCUUCGAAUUUUAAGUCGAUAAAUUUCAAUUAAAUAAGAAAUUAAAAAUGGGAUUAACAACGUAUUAUAGAAUUGCCAAACUUUGCGCCGCAGUCUUUAUAGUUAUUACUUUUGCCAAGCUCGUCAAAGCUGAAGAUUCUGAUACAUUCUUAAAGAUGAUUUUGGUAAAUUUACAACCUUUUAUUCAAUUGUUGGCCAGAUAAUCAAGGAAGAGGAAAUUAAAUAUUUCUUUUUUUUAACAAAGUCUUAUCGUGUUUAUUUUUAUAUAACAAAUUUAUGUAACAAAAUAACUAUUUAUAAUCUAUAUAAAAUAUUACAAAAAAUAUUCUUAGAGAUUGAUGAAACGUCGUUCCAUUGUUUUCUCGCACUCUGUGCAAUGCCUUCAUUGCCACAGGAAGAAUUAGGAAUAUUAUGUUAACGAUUGCACGUCGCACCCUUGAAUCAAGUGUUCUCCCGAGUUGAAAUGUCUCGCAAUUUGAGUUUACUCUAGACAUAAAAUCAAAUCUUCAGCCUCCAAUUUCAUGCCCAUCUUGAUGUCCACAGAUCCCACAACGCCAUCAACUGGUGACUGUACAACGGUCUCCAUUUUCAUGGCGCUAAGAAUAACGAGUGGCUGGCCCUUGGUGAUGCGGUCACCCUUCUUCACACGAAUGUCGAUGAUUUCACCUGGCAUAGGUGCGCCCACCUGUUUCGGGUCGCUCUUUACUGCCUUGGGAUGAAUGUGCAUUUCCUUACGCGCUUCAUUAUCCUUGAUGAAGACGGAACGCAGAGUACCGUUGAGCUCGAAGAACACUUCACGCUCUCCGUUUUCUGUGAGGUCUUCAGCGACGGCUAGUGUCUUGAUGCCAAGGGUCUUACCACGUUCAAUGGAUACUUCGAAUUCCUCGCCCACUUUGGGACCUGUGAGGAACAUGCGUGUGUCGAGGUGUGUUACUGGACCAUAUUCGGACACGAAGGAGAGGAAGUCCUUGGUGACCUUGGGGUACAACGCAGCAGACAUGAUAUCCUUAUCUGUCACGGGGAAGUCAGCCGGAACGCUAGCCUAGAGAAACAACACAAAAGAUAAAAUUUCAUCAC